rfam:Triticum aestivum genome assembly, contig: Triticum_aestivum_CS42_TGACv1_scaffold_513573_6BS
AAAGUACUCCCUCCGUCCCUCAAUUUUUGUCUUAGAUUUAUCUAGAUACGGAUGUAUCUAACACUAAAAUGUGAAUAGAUACAUCCGUAUGUAGACAAAUCUAAGACAAGAAUUUUGAGACGAAGGGAAUACAUC